rnacentral:rRNA from 1 species
UACGGAGGGUGCAAGCGUUGUUCGGAUUCACUGGGUAUAAAGGGUGCGCAGGCGGCCUUGUAAGUCAGAGGUGAAAUAUGUCGGCUCAACCGGCAAACUGCCUCUGAGACUGCUUGGCUUGAGUCCGGGAGAGGAAGGUGGAAUUCCUGGUGUAGCGGUGAAAUGCGUAAAUAUCAGGAGGAACACCGGUGGCGAAGGCGGCCUUCUGGCCCGGUACUGACGCUCAUGCACGAAAGCCAGGGGAGCGAACGGG